CAGAUCGACGCAUGCCGCAAACCACACCUGCGCGGCAACUCGUGUCGCGCGCCUCAUCAUCAGCAUUGUACUAGCAGCGCCGCAAACAAAAGUUACAGGAGUUUGUCUCUCUUCGGUUCACUAAAGUUUAUUUAUUUUUUUGCCAUGCAGGGUUAAAUUUAAGUCGGGGGAAUAUUAACGAGGACGAAAGCUGCACUGACGCCUCAGGAGAAGACCGACGAGUCCCAUAGAAGCCAACUACAGCCGUGGAAAAGUUAUUGUUCGCGGAGCCCCGGUGGGGUUUAAAGUUCAGCUAGGCUAUUAGCAGGUAGUUAGCUUCGUAUCUGUACCCGUUGGUCCCCUCACAAUGGCAGCUGUGUGCCAGCCGCGACGUGCUUUGGUGGAAAUCCCUGCACCGCAGCCCAAAAUUGCAGCUCGAAUGAGGAGGUCCUACUUAGAAAUUCUGAGUGCACGUUUGGCUCCGUCUCCUCUUCCAAGAGGGAGAACCACAGCUCCAAAGCGUGUACAAUCAUUGGACUUGUCCAUCGGUGGAGUUUGGAGAGGAGGGAUGGAGGAGCAUUGUGAGAAGAUGGACGAGCCCCACACACCGCUCUCCAAACAGCAGCUUGUACAGCUGAUCAGAUCCCUGAUCUUAGUGGAACAGAGCCAAGAGCCAAGGAUCAUAGCGUCAGACCUGAAAUAUCUUCAGGAAGACCUGCAGCUAAAGAAGGCAAAUGUUUACAGGUCCAUACCUUAUUCACGGUUUGGCUCCAACAGGGAUGCUCACUGCUACAGGAAGGCCUAUCCUCAUCUAGUGGCAUUCAAAGUUUCGUGUCAGGAGUGGGGCCAAGUUCUGCUGAGGAACAAAGAGUGGGACGCUGCGUUGGAGCACUCGUUGAUGGCGUGGCGAUACACCAGCGAGUUGCCGCAGUGGGACACGGCGAACCACAACGCUCUCCGAGAACAGUGUUACAGCAUCCUGGCAGCUCACAGCCUCACCGCUCUGGAGCACUACCGCCCCGAACCCAACAGAGGACGCGAGCUGCUCAGAAGGUUGAAGAUGGCUCAGCUGCAUAGCCAGUCAGUUGUUCCCUGUAUUCAGGAGCUGCAGAGGAUUAUGGGAUGCUGUGAUGACUCAUCCAUGGAUACAAAAUGAUAGGAGAAUGCACCUCAACAGCUGGAUUCAUGGCAGUGAAAAGUGCGCUCAGUGAUUUAUGUGUGUUAAUGGGCCAAAAACAUUUUACAUGGUGGUGUUUGUUUGGAAAAACCACUCCAGUAUUCUUCCAAAGGGCACGGUCGCCAGUGCAAAAUUGCCAAAAGUGCCACACAAUGCGGGUUUGUAAAGGUGAUGAAAACCACCCUCUAAAUGGUUGGAAAUGCAAUAAAACCUCUUAUUUAUUCACGUGGCAUUUUAACAUCAACUGCAAAGUGUCAUGAAGAGGAGUGCAUUCAUUGGUUAAUGGAGCAUUCUGUUCAUACAUUACCUUGCAGGCUAUAAAAUAUGUUCCCUCAUUUCUAAGGAGCAUUCACACUCUGACAAAUGUUAUGGUCACUUGGUGCUGGCAGUGAUGUAAUGAAAAUAUUUGUAUGUUUUUAGAUCUUUGUAUAAUGUAGUCUGGAUUGAAAUGUAAAGAAUAUAAAAUGUCUCAUGUUGCUUUAUGGGUGUGUAUAUAUGUUACUGUUCACGAUACUUGAAGCUGUGGCCUUUUGUCUUCAACUAGUUAAGUUUUAUGUGUUGUAGAGAAUUGUCUGUCAUCGAUUGCACUGUUUGUCCUGAAAACUUGAAACUUGAUAAAAUAGGUUCCUAAUUUAAAUAAAUUCCUUACUUUGAACUGCAGAAAAGCUUCUUUGUCCAUUGUGUUGUGGCCUCAGCAUUAUCCUUGAUCCUCUGUGUGCGAUCAUCAAUAUCAAACAGCAGCUGUAGUGUUUACCUCUGAU
ensembl:lncRNA